UGCUUGUUCUUGUUCUGAGGCGCCGACGAACUGAGAUUGUCAACUUGUUGCACCAGACACACGUCAAAUGGAUACCUUAUUAUAAUUAAAGCGUGUCCACCGCGCUGCUCACAUCCAGCGCGGACGUGGUCAAUGUCAUCACGUCGUGGCCCCUGCGCCGCCCGGGCGCCUGUCGUCGACCCGAGCCGUAAUCUCCUCAAAGGAUUUGUGUCUUGGCUGCAGCUGUGACAUCUUACUUGGGUUUGUUUGUUGCUAAACGAAGCGAACCUUCCGACUCAAGUUCAUGUAUUUUGCCACUAGACUAAAGAAACGACCUUUCUGCCUUCGAUUAUAAAACCUAAUGUUUCAAAUAACAAGGCUCAUCACAAUGGUCGUAACCCCAUAAGCUUGGAGUGUGUGCCAAAUGUGCACAAAUACGCGUCCAACAUUGGAACCAACCCUCGCCGCUCGCGUUCUCCCGGCGCGGCGCGGUGCUGUACAGACUACAGACGUCACAAACGGCUCAUUAAAUGUGCAAUAAUGUGAAGGGUAGUAAUUGACGACACCCUUUCAUUGGAUAUCGAGUUGGAAUUCAUUAAAUCAGAGCAAUACAGAUGAGGGUAGAUACAGUGCGAGGACGGGAGUAAAUUUUUUAUACGAAUAAAGAGAAUGUUAUUGUGUUUAUAAAAAUAAAAAUGUAUCUGACACAAAUAAUAAUG